rnacentral:rRNA from 1 species
UAUGAAGGGGGCUAGCGUUGUUCGGAAUAACUGGGCGUAAAGCGCACGUAGGCGGAUUUGUAAGUCAGGGGUGAAAUCCCGGGGCUCAACCUCGGAACUGCCUUUGAUACUGCAAGUCUAGAGUCCGGAAGAGGUGAGUGGAAUUCCUAGUGUAGAGGUGAAAUUCGUAGAUAUUAGGAAGAACACCAGUGGCGAAGGCGGCUCACUGGUCCGGUACUGACGCUGAGGCGCGAAAGCUAGGGGAGCAAACGGG